rnacentral:rRNA from 1 species
UACGUAGGGGGCAAGCGUUGUCCGGAAUCAUUGGGCGUAAAGAGCGUGUAGGCGGCUCGAUAAGUCUGCUGUGAAAGUCCAGGGCUCAACCCUGGAAGGCCGGUGGAAACUGUCGGGCUAGAGUCCGGAAGAGGCGAGUGGAAUUCCCGGUGUAGCGGUGAAAUGCGCAGAUAUCGGGAGGAACACCAAUGGCGAAGGCGACAUCCUGGACCGGUAUUGACGCUGAGGCGCGAAAGCCAGGGGAGCAAACGGG